AUUGAACGCUGGCGGCAGGCCUAACACAUGCAAGUCGAGCGAGCGGCGGACGGGUGAGUAAUGUCUGGGAAACUGCCUGAUGGAGGGGGAUAACUACUGGAAACGGUAGCUAAUACCGCAUACCAUCAGAUGUGACAAGAUGGGAUUAGCUAGUAGGUGGGGUAACGGCACACCUGGGCGACGAUCCCUAGCUGGGAUGAGAGGAUGACCAGCCAUACGGGAACUGAGACACGGUCCAGACUCCUAGGGUAGGCAGCAGGGGGGAAUAUUGCACAAUGGGCGCAAGCCUGAUACAGCCAUGCCGCGUGUGUGAAGAAGGCCUUCGGGUUGUAAAGCACUUUCAGCGGGGAGGCGUUACCCGCAGAAGAAGCACCGGCUAACUCCGUGCCAGCCGCCGCGGUAAUUC
rnacentral:rRNA from 1 species